rnacentral:rRNA from 1 species
UCCAGCAGCCAUAUCACCCUGAAAUGCACAACUGGCAACCAUACUGAAGCUCAGCAGGUGUGAGCCUGGUAAUGGUACCUAGAUGGGAGACUUCCUGGAAAAGCUAAGGUUGCUGCUGAAA